rnacentral:rRNA from 1 species
UGGGGAAUAUUGCACAAUGGGCGCAAGCCUGAUGCAGCCAUGCCGCGUGUAUGAAGAAGGCCUUCGGGUUGUAAAGUACUUUCAGCGGGGAGGAAGGGAGUAAAGUUAAUACCUUUGCUCAUUGACGUUACCCGCAGAAGAAGCACCGGCUAACUCCGUGCCAGCAGCCGCGGUAAUACGGAGGGUGCAAGCGUUAAUCGGAAUUACUGGGCGUAAAGCGCACGCAGGCGGUUUGUUAAGUCAGAUGUGAAAUCCUCGGGCUCAACCUGGGAACUGCAUCUGAUACUGGCAAGCUUGAGUCUCGUAGAGGGGGGUAGAAUUCCAGGUGUAGCGAUGAAAUGCGUAGAGAUCUGGAGGAAUACCGGUGGCGAAGGCGGCCCCCUGGACGAAGACUGACGCUCAGGUGCGAAAGCGUGGGGAGCAAACAGG